GACAGAGGGUGCGAACGUUGUUCGGAAUUACUGGGCGUAAAGCGCAUGUAGGCGGCCGCGCAAGUCGGGCGUGAAAUCCCACGGCUCAACCGUGGAAGUGCACUCGAAACUGCGCAGCUAGAGUCCUGGAGAGGAAGGUGGAAUGCUUGGUGUAGAGGUGAAAUUCGUAGAUAUCAAGCGGAACACCGGUGGCGAAGGCGGCCUUCUGGACAGUGACUGACGCUGAGAUGCGAAAGCGUGGGGAGCAAAUAGG
rnacentral:rRNA from 1 species